rnacentral:rRNA from 1 species
GCUUACGGCCACACCACCCUGAACACGCCUGAUCUCGUCCGAUCUCGGAAGCUAAGCAGGGCAGGGCCUGGUUAGUACUUGGAUGGCAGACUGCCUGGGAAUACCAGGUGCUGUAAGUA